rnacentral:rRNA from 1 species
GACGAACGCUGGCGGCGUGCUUAACACAUGCAAGUCGAACGGAAAGGCCCUGCUUUUGUGGGGUUCUCGAUUGGCGAACGCGUGAGUAACACGUGAGUAACCUGCCCUUGACUUUGUGAUAACUUCAGGAAACUGGGGCUAAUAUCGGAUAGGAUCUCCUGCUGCAUGUUGGGGGUUGGAAAAUUUCGGCGGUUGUGGAUGGACUCGCUGCUUAUCAGCUUGUUGGUGUGGUAGUGGCGUACCAAGGGUUUGACGGGUAGCCGGCCUGGGAGGGUGACCGGCCACAUUGGGACUGAGAUACGGCCCAGAAUGCUACGGGAGGCAGCAGUGGGGAAUAUUGCACAAUGGGCGGAAGCCUGAUGCAGCAACGCCGCGUGCGUGAUGACCGCCUUCGGGUUGUAAACCGCUUUCGAAUGUGACGAAGCGUGAGUGACGGUAAUGGGUAAAGAAGCCACGGCUAACUACGUG